UAAGCGGAGGAAAAGAAACUAACAAGGAUUCCCCUAGUAACGGCGAGUGAACCGGGAAGAGCUCAAAUUUGAAAUCUGGCGUCCUCAGGGCGUCCGAGUUGUAAUCUAUAGAGGCGUUUUCCGUGCCGGACCGUGUCCAAGUUCCUUGGAACAGGAUAUCAAAGAGGGUGACAAUCCCGUACUUGACACGACGACCGGUGCUCUGUGAUACGUCUUCUACGAGUCGAGUUGUUUGGGAAUGCAGCUCAAAAUGGGUGGUGAGUUCCAUCUAAAGCUAAAUAUUGGCGAGAGACCGAUAGCGAACAAGUACCGUGAGGGAAAGAUGAAAAGCACUUUGGAAAGAGAGUUAAACAGUACGUGAAAUUGUUGAAAGGGAAACGAUUGAAGUCAGUCGUGACCGAGAGGCUCAGCCGGCUCUGCCGGUGUAUUCCCCUCGGUCGGGUCAACAUCAGUUUUGUCCGGUGGAUAAGGGCGGUAGGAAGGUAGCACCCUCGGGUGUGUUAUAGCCUGCCGUCGCAUACAUCGGGUGAGACUGAGGAAUGCAGCUCGCCUUUAUGGCCGGGGUUCGCCCACGUCCGAGCUUAGGAUGUUGACAUAAUGGCUUUAAACGACCCGUCUUGAAACACGGACC
rnacentral:misc_RNA from 1 species